UUUCCGUAGGUGAACCUGCGGAAGGAUCAUUAAUGAGUUGUCAUGGGGUUCGAUGCUGGCAGCCAAUUUUUGGAUGCAUGUGCUUGCCCUAACAAUCAUCUUCCAAACACCUGUGCACAUUUUUGAGGGAGUCUUGAGUUGGUUGCCGCUCUUGGGUGAUUUUCUCACAUUCCCUUAAACCAUUAUACGCUAUUAACAAUGUUGAACGUGCUCUGUGCCGCAAGGCUAUUAAUAUAAUACAACUUUUAACAACGGAUCUCUUGGCUCUC
rnacentral:misc_RNA from 1 species